rnacentral:rRNA from 1 species
AACGAACGCUGGCGGCAGGCCUAACACAUGCAAGUCGAACGAUAAGCCACCUUCGGGUGGUGGACAGUGGCAGACGGGUGAGUAACGCGUGGGAACGUGCCUUUCGGUUCGGAAUAACCCAGGGAAACUUGGGCUAAUACCGGAUAUCCCUACGGGGGAAAGGAUUUAUCGCCCCUCGGACGGGCCCGGCGUCCGAUUAGCUAGUUGGUGAGGUAAUGGCUCACCAAGGCGACGAUCGGUAGCUGGUCUGAGAGGACGACCAGCCACACUGGAACUGAGACA